CCUACGGGUGGCAGCAGUGGGGAAUAUUGCGCAAUGGGCGAAAGCCUGACGCAGCGACGCCGCGUGAGGGAUGAAGGUCUUCGGAUCGUAAACCUCUGUCAGCAGGGAAGAACGGUCACUGUGUUACUCAGCAGUGAAUUGACGGUACCUGCAAAGGCAGCACCGGCUAACUCCGUGCCAGCAGCCGCGGUAAUACGGUGGGUGCGAGCGUUAAUCGGAAUUACUGGGCCUAAAGCGCUCGUAGGCGGUCUGUCAAUUCAAGGGUGAAAUCCCCACGCUCAACGUGGGAACUGCCUUGGAAACUGGCGGACUGGAGUGUGGGAGAGGAUAGUGGAAUUCCAGGUGUAGGAGUGAAAUCCGUAGAUAUCUGGAGGAACAUCAGUGGCGAAGGCGACUAGCUGGAACAUAACUGACGCUGAGGAACGAAAGCGUGGGUAGCAAACAGGAUUAGAUACCCUUGUAGUC
rnacentral:rRNA from 1 species